UUAAAUUGAAGAGUUUGAUCAUGGCUCAGAUUGAACGCUGGCGGCAGGCCUAACACAUGCAAGUCGAACGGUAACAGGAAGCAGCUUGCUGCUUCGCUGACGAGUGGCGGACGGGUGAGUAAUGUCUGGGAAACUGCCUGAUGGAGGGGGAUAACUACUGGAAACGGUAGCUAAUACCGCAUAACGUCGCAAGACCAAAGAGGGGGACCUUCGGGCCUCUUGCCAUCGGAUGUGCCCAGAUGGGAUUAGCUAGUAGGUGGGGUAACGGCUCACCUAGGCGACGAUCCCUAGCUGGUCUGAGAGGAUGACCAGCCACACUGGAACUGAGACACGGUCCAGACUCCUACGGGAGGCAGCAGUGGGGAAUAUUGCACAAUGGGCGCAAGCCUGAUGCAGCCAUGCCGCGUGUAUGAAGAAGGCCUUCGGGUUGUAAAGUACUUUCAGCGGGGAGGAAGGCGAUAAGGUUAAUAACCUUGUCGAUUGACGUUACCCGCAGAAGAAGCACCGGCUAACUCCGUGCCAGCAGCCGCGGUAAUACGGAGGUGCAAGCGUUAAUCGGAAUUACUGGGCGUAAAGCGCACGCAGGCGGUCUGUCAAGUCGGAUGUGAAAUCCCCGGGCUCAACCUGGGAACUGCAUUCGAAACUGGCAGGCUAGAGUCUUGUAGAGGGGGGUAGAAUUCCAGGUGUAGCGGUGAAAUGCGUAGAGAUCUGGAGGAAUACCGGUGGCGAAGGCGGCCCCUGGACAAAGACUGACGCUCAGGUGCGAAAGCGUGGGAGCAAACAGGAUUAGAUACCCUGGUAGUCCACGCCGUAAACGAUGUCGACUUGGAGGUUGUGCCCUUGAGGCGUGGCUUCCGGAGCUAACGCGUUAAGUCGACCGCCUGGGGAGUACGGCCGCAAGGUUAAAACUCAAAUGAAUUGACGGGGGCCCGCACAAGCGGUGGAGCAUGUGGUUUAAUUCGAUGCAACGCGAAGAACCUUACCUACUCUUGACAUCCAGAGAACUUUCAGAGAUGGAUUGGUGCCUUCGGGAACUCUGAGACAGGUGCUGCAUGGCUGUCGUCAGCUCGUGUUGUGAAAUGUUGGGUUAAGUCCCGCAACGAGCGCAACCCUUAUCCUUUGUUGCCAGCGGUUAGGCCGGGAACUCAAAGGAGACUGCCAGUGAUAAACUGGAGGAAGGUGGGGAUGACGUCAAGUCAUCAUGGCCCUUACGAGUAGGGCUACACACGUGCUACAAUGGCGCAUACAAAGAGAAGCGACCUCGCGAGAGCAAGCGGACCUCAUAAAGUGCGUCGUAGUCCGGAUUGGAGUCUGCAACUCGACUCCAUGAAGUCGGAAUCGCUAGUAAUCGUGGAUCAGAAUGCCACGGUGAAUACGUUCCCGGGCCUUGUACACACCGCCCGUCACACCAUGGGAGUGGGUUGCAAAAGAAGUAGGUAGCUUAACCUUCGGGAGGGCGCUUACCACUUUGUGAUUCAUGACUGGGGUGAAGUCGUAACAAGGUAACCGUAGGGGAACCUGCGGUUGGAUCACCUCCUUACCUUAAAGAA
rnacentral:rRNA from 1 species